GAUGAACGCUGGCGGCGUGCCUAAUACAUGCCAGUCGAGCGAACAGACGAGGAGCUUGCUCCUCUGACGUUAGCGGCGGACGGGUGAGUAACACGUGGAUAACCUACCUAUAAGACUGGGAUAACUUCGGGAAACCGGAGCUAAUGCCGGAUAAUAUAUUGAACCGCAUGGUUCAAUAGUGAAAGCCGGUUUUGCUGUCACUUAUAGAUGGAUCCGCGCCGCAUUAGCUAGUUGGUAAGGUAACGGCUUACCAAGGCAACGAUGCGUAGCCGACCUGAGAGGGUGAUCGGCCACACUGGAACUGAGACACGGUCCAGACUCCUACGGGAGGCAGCAGUAGGGAAUCUUCCGCAAUGGGCGAAAGCUUGACGGAGCAACGCCGCGUGAGUGAUGAAGGUCUUCGGAUCGUAAAACUCUGUUAUUAGGGAAGAACAAAUGUGUAAGUAACUAUGCACGUCUUGACGGUACCUAAUCAGAAAGCCACGGCUAACUACGUG
rnacentral:rRNA from 1 species